AGAAUAUUAAAAUCAGAUCAAAGGAAGAAGAAAAAAAUGGCAAUCAACAGAAUUUCAGGUCUCAAUGGGGGAAUGAAGAUAGUAUAUAUAGAUUAAGUUCUCAUAAAAUACUAGAAGAUUCAGUCAAACUGCAUUUGUGGAACUGCACUGUGGAAUUUCACCUGAGGAGCCCCAUCUGUAUGAGGGGCUGAUUUAGCAGAGAGGUUCUGGAUUUCAAGCCAAUGCCAUUAUGUGAUGAGAUUUUGAGGCUCCUGGAAAGAGGUUAAUAGUCCAGUCAGUCAGAGCUGGUGAAGUAGACUUGCUGUAGAAGGUGUGAAGGCCCAGUCCUCCCUCCACGUUUCUCCACCCUUGAAAGGUCGUGUGCAUGUCUGUUCACCCAUGAAAGAAGAGGAAGACACCAAAUGGAUGGCAUUGAUUUCAUUUUAAGGGCUGGAGAUCAAGACCUACCCAUUGUGAUGAAUAAAUCCAGGCUCUCAGCAAUGCAGGGAGAAAAAGUUUUGUCUAUCAACACUGCAGCAACCAGGCUUCCAGGUCUGUGAUUGGAGGGGCUGCCAUGAAGACCUAUGAGAUUCCCUGGAGACAUUUCCCCUAUUGUCUUAAGGAUGAACAUUUGGCUCCUUGUUACUUACAUGAAUUUCUCAAGCCAGCUGGAAUUUCUCCUCAGAAAAUGGGGUUUUCUUUUCUAUUGCAUCAUCAGGCUGUAAAUUUCCUGAAUUUUCACAGUUUCCCUUUUAAAAUGGAAAGCUUUUAACAGCACCCAAGCCACCUCUUGAAUGCUUUGCUGCUUAGAAAUUUUUUCCACCACAUACCCUAAAAAUCAUCUCAAGUUCAAAGUUCCACAAAUCUCUAGGAUGGGGCAAAAUGCCACCAGUCUCUUUGUUGUAACAGGAGUCACCUCUGCUCCAGUUACCAACAAGUUCUUCAUCUCCAUCUGAGACCACCUCAGCCUGGACCUUAAUGUUCAUAUCACUAUCAGCAUUUUUGUGACAGCCAUUCAACAAGUCUCUGGCAAGUUCCAAACUUUCCGACAUUUUCCUGUCUUCUUCUGAGCCCUCCAAACUGUUCCAACCUCUGCCUGAUACCCAGUUCCAAAGUCACUUCCACAUUUUCAGGUAUCUUUUCAGUAACGCCCCACUCUACUGGUACCAAUUUACUGUAUUAGUCCAUUUUCAUCGUGCUGAUAAAAACAUACCCAAAACUGGGACGAAAAGAAGGUUUAAUUGGAUUUACAGUUCCACAUGGCUGAGGGGCCUCAGAAUGAUGGCGGGAGGCAAAAGGCACUUCUUAUAUGGUGGCAGCAAAAUAAAACGAGGAUACAAAGUGGAAACCCCUAAUAAAACCAUCAGAUCUCCUGAGAUUUAUUCACUACCAUGAGAACAGUAUGGGGGAAACCACCCCCAUGAUUCAAAUUACCUCCCACAACACAUGGGAAUUAUGGGAGUACAAUUCAAGAUGAGAUUUUGGUGGGGACACAGAGCCAAACUAUAUCAGACCACUUAGCCAUUUGACAGAACUAGAUAUGCAAUAGGGACAUUUGAGAACCCCAGAAAGGAACUGAAUGGACUUCUCUAUGUGCAACAUAUAAACAACUUAGGCAUUUACAUUCUGAAUCAUUAGGGCAUGCUAGACUCUAUGUAGGGGGAGAACCUUGUAAUGCUAUAAUUUCUCAUGAUUACUAAGCUGGGGAAAAGAUAGAUAUAUAACUAAAUAAUACAAGGUUAUUUUUGAGCCUGGACAUCUCAGAAUGUCUUCUAUUGUUUACAAAAUAAUGUGUGUUAGGGGACAGGUAAAGGGCACUUGAGGUCUAUAACAACUUCCAACUACUUUCUGCCUGUCCUUUAGGAUCUCUGGCUCUCAAAUGGCUAAAGUGACUUUACCUAGUCUCUCAAGAACUCAUGUGUCAGCCAGGGAAUCCACAUAUUAUCUGAAAUAUAUAGGUGCUAUCAUUAGCACUACAACUACCCUUAGGCCCAAGGUGACACUACCUCAUAGAGAAGACUCUCUUCCUUGAAAAAAGAGAAGACACUGGAAAGGAGCCUCAACAGACUGGAAAACUUCAUGACAUCAUUGGGAACAGUCUGCUUCCUGCUGCUGCCAUAAACCUAGUACUCUCUCUCCCUUCAUGGUAGUGGUAGUUCUGGUCCAGUUUACUGCAUACAAGUCAUACCAUCCUAACAAGGCCUUUCCUGAGCAUCACCUAUCCCUGGCUAGCCACUGUCUCUUACGGUCUUGUCUUCUCCCCUCACUGGCACACACAAAAAAUACCAACUUUAUCUACCUGGCUGGGGCUUUCUCCUGUUUGGGGGUUUCCCGUAUGUUUCUUCCCUUUCACUUCAGCCUUUGUCUAAACUAAGCAAUUAUUCUCUUCCCAUUCCCUGGACCAGAUUUUCUUUUCAUUAAUUAGUAGGUCUCUUCCCUUCCUCCAGGGCAUCAAGCGUUUUUACCUAUCCAUUCAGACUUUUCCAAUCUCCAUCUGCUCGCUUUAAAAUAAAUUGCUUGCUUUUUCUUAUUUAUUGAAUUAUUUGGGUGAGGGGUGAGAAAGAGAAAAAUUCAAUAAUUUCUAUAAUCAAAAUUUCUUUGUUUUACAUUGUUUGCCGAUGGAUUAUUGUUAUCUGAAACAUCUGAGUCUUUUUUCUUCUGCAAAUAAAUAGCAUCAUCCUCUGAGUGAAAGACAUCGUUAAUACUAAGCUGCAUGAAAUGAUAUUGACAAAUGACCUGUCCCCUGAGUAGGGCAAAUGCAUGAGAGCUUUAUUAUGGACACCAAGAAAGAGGAAUGGAAUCUAGUUCUAAAGUCAAAUCAGUGUCAACGUAAACCAAAGCAAUUGAUUAAAUGGAGGCACUUUAUAGGACCUAUAUCAAUUAAUGAUUUAAGAAAUCUGAAAUGAAAUGCUCUAAGAAUUAAAAACACUUCUUGAAGCAUUUCUUCUCUCUCCCCCAGAGGCUAGGGAACACUCAGUUGGAAUUCUGUGGCAUGUGUGCAAAGUAAAAAUGGGAUUUCCAUGAGUUAUGCACAAAGUUCUUAAUUGCACACUGUCACUGGAGCCAUUGUCACCCACCACCAAAUCUUGUGUCUCCAUCCAAAAACAAAAAGAGGGAAGAUUCGUGUUAUUAGACUAGACAUGCCAUGUCAAAUUAAGGGGAGAAAUAUGCAGAAUACCCAGCCCGAUAAUGGGAAACUGAAGAACUAAAAUUGCAUAUUGAAUAUGUUCUUCAGACAAAAAAAAACUUAAUUCCAUUUGAAUUUUAUAGUAGUUUACACUUAAAAAAUUAGGAGAAGAAAAUGGGUACUUUAGUAGAAUUUUAUUUCUGCAUACACUGUCAGAAUAGAUUUUUUUUCAGAUGGGGAAAAUCCCUAUACGCUGGAUUCUAUCUUUGAAGGUAGAAGAGAAAGGAUGGAAAAUAUCAUGUACUUUAAAUACAUCUUUCUGUAUCUUACCUCCCAAUUUUUUUUAAUAGUAUGGCCUCACAAAGAUUGAUUUUACUGCUGCUGAAAACUGUCUGAAGAUGAGAAGCAGUUUCAGUAAGAACAACAGAGAGUAAACAAAGCUAAGAUAACAACAGUGAAUGCCACAAAUUCUGAAUAGAACAUAACAUGGAUAAACUGAUUUGUUCUACUUCAUUAAGUUACACUGAAGUUGGAGAAGUUUGCAGAACUUUGGCAUACAUAGAGGUCACAAUAGUAUAUGUUUUUAUCAAACUGAAUUCUAAUUGUUAGAAGGUAGGACAGUGAAUAAUGGCAAUACUGCAGAGUGGUUAGGAGAAUGUGAGCUUUGUGGUCAGUCAGAAAACUGCUUCAAAUCUCAACCGUGUCAUUUAGGAGUUGGGUGUGGGCAAGUUAUUUAACUUGAGUCUUACUUCUCACAUCUGUGUCUGUCAUAGGAUAAUUGUUUAUUAUCUGAAUAGUGAGAGUUGAAUAAAUUAUCCUCAAAAUUAAAUAAAAUGGAAGGAUUCAGUAUGAUGCCUGGAAGGCAUGCAUAUAUUAAGGUCUCAAUAAAUGCUAUUUGUUUUGAUUUAUUAUUAUUACAAUAAAAAAGUCACAGUGGAAAAAGCCAAAUUCUCAUUUUGAUUUAAAACUUUUCCAUAUUAUUAUUAUUAUCAUUUAAUGUUUUAGAGACAAGAUCUCCCUCUUUCACUCAGGCUUGGGUGCAGUCGUGAAAUCAUACAUAGCCCACUGCAACCUCGAACGCCUGAACUCAAGGGAUCCCACUGCUUAGCUGGGACUAAAGGUGUGUGCCACUGUGUUUGGCUAACUUUUUUUAUUCUUUGUAGAGAUGGGGGUCUUGCUGACAUCCAAGAUUUAUUUCAGUAUUUUUUAGUAAAUUAAUACUAUUAUGAGCUUAACAGAUGAAAGUUAUUCACCAUAAACUUUAAAGAACUGUGGAAAAAUUAUGUUUAAACAUUUUUAUAUUAUCUCAGCUCUGCUUCAUCCACUUCCCCAGUUAUUCAUCAGCUUUGAACACUUCUUCUAAAAGUUAAAUACUUGUCAGUCCUCUUAAUGGCCUCCAAGGAGAGAUAUGUCAAGAAUUUCAUUUGAAGCCUAUUUUGGUGUUUAAUCCUGCUGAGCCUAUGUCUCUACAAUUUAACAUUCAGUGGAAGCAAUAAAUGGUGAUCAUAUCAUCAAGAAAUUGGAUCCAUUCCUCAAAAACAUUCCAGUGAUCCAUUCCUUUCAUAUCCCUGCGAAAUGAUUUGUACUCAGAACAGUUGUGUGUGUGCACAAGCAUAUGCAGCACAUUAAGAAUGCCAAAUCUGAAUUUUUCAGUGGUCUGAAGUGGAAACUUCUCAUAGAGCAGCCAUAUGUUUUCUAGGAUUGCAUUAAUCUUACCUUUUAGGCAAACAAUAUAGUGCAUUUUGUCUAUGUUUUACCACAUACAACAAAUACUGAACCCUUUCUUAUUCCUGUAUCUAUGAAUGAAUAUGGAAAGACUUAUCUGAAAGGCAUAUCAAGGAUUUUUUUUUUUUAUUAGCUUACUUGGCCAGGCGUGGUGGCUCACUUCUGUAAUCCCAGCACUUUGGGAGGCUAAGGUGGGUGGAUCACUUGAGGUCAGGAGUUUGAAACUAGCCUGGCCAACAUGGCAAAACCCCGUCUCUACUAAAAAAAAAAAAAAAAAAAAAAAAAAAAAUUAGCCAAGUAUGGUGGCAGGCACCUGUAAUCCCACCUACUCGGGAGGCUGAGACAUGACAAUCAGUAGAACCUCGGUCGGGGAGGUUGCCGUGAGCUGAGAUCCUGACACUGUACUCCAGCCUGGGCUACAGAGUGACAUUCCAUCUCGAAAUAAAUAAAUAAAAAUAAAAUAAAAUUAGCUUACUUUAAAUGAGCAUUUCUUAUUUUUAAAUUCCAGAUUCUCAGGGGAGAAAAACCUGGGAGAGGGAAGCUUGGGUCAAGUGUACAAUGAGUUCAAUAAAGUUGAACAUAGGGGUAAGGUUAUGUGGUAUAAACAUGACUUUCUAGGAGCUUCUCAUUUGUGUUUGCAUAGAUUUAUUAAUAAAUUAAAGGAUACUAAUGAGCUAGGCUUAUAUCUUAAAGGAUAUCUAUUGUUCUCCCUUCACAUCCAGAGGUUUAAAGAAGAACUCCAUGUCUCAGAACGUUAUAGGAGGUCCAAGAUUUAAUUUGCAUCCACUUUCACCCCCUCCCUUAAGUCGUCCUCACCAUAUUUGUGCCUUGGUCUUUUGUCAUAACUGUUCCUUCUGAAAAAUAUGCUGAUAUUUCUUAUGUGAUCUCCUUUCAGAAUUAACUGUGAUUGUUAUGUUGAAUCAUAUUUCUGCAUUCUAUUGAUAGUAUACCUAUAACUGAUUAUGCUGUUAUGCAUAACUUUAGUAAGAUAUUUAUAAUACCUAUAACAUUCAUAAAGACUAUCCCUGGGUCAGCUAUUAGAAUAUUACUCAAUAUGUUGUGGAAAGUAGAUAUGCAUACGUUAAGUUUUGAGUCACCAGGUGAUAACUUUAAACUCAUUGAAUAAAAGCUAAUAUAUAACAAAAAGUCAGUGUAUGUGUGUAUGUGUGCAUUGGUGGGAGAUUAACGUGCCAUAGUGGGAGCUAUCAAACAUUGAAGAAAUUUAGUCUCUAUCUUGAAAUACAUACACUGCUUACAGGAAUAGAGAAAAGUGGAUAUAUACCUAUAUUUCCUAGAAUCUUGAGGAUCCUGCCUAGGUGUUUCAAACCACAGAAUCAGCCGACAUGAACAUAAGCAUUGUCUAUUGCCAUGUUUAUUAUAGUAUAGCUUUAUGAGUUCAAAGUUUUCACCCUUAGAUUGUUAUUAAUUUGCUUAGCAUGCUAUUUUCCUGGACCAUACAAAGGUUCCUGCUGUGUGCUUCAAACAGGUCCUUAUUUAACAGGAGCUGGCAGUCAACAUGCAGCUUAAACUAGUGACUCUCAAAAGGACCCUCAAAGACAUCUGUUGCUUAUUCCCAUUCUACUCAGUUUCCCAAGGUUUCACUCCCCUCCGCUACCUCUCUCACUCUUAGAAAAUGAUUCUACUGACAGCAUUUCUAAGAAGAUGAAGCUCAUCUGACAUGGGUUGCAUCAGUCUGUUGUUCCUGCUCUCAUCACUUCCUAUAUCUGCUGAGAUACCACUCCAUCAACUAUUCUACCCGUCAACCUCUUUUACCUUUGCCUAAUAACACGAAUAUACCCCUUUAUUCUAAGAAACAUUUCCAUUUGACUCCUUAAGUUAUUACUCCAAUCUUUUUCUCUUCUCUACCAGACAUAAAUGUCUAUACUUACUGCACUUCCUCACUACCCACAGUUUACUUGAGUCCUUACACUCUGACUUCUACACACACACUACUUUUCAUAUUUUUACCAGGUGACUAUCAUUAACUGUCAUAAUUUUCCAGCGCUUUGGGCAUAUAUAAAGUGCAUAUCCAUUUUACAAGAAUAUUGUUUUAGAUCAAAACUUGUUUCUUUCAAGGUGAUUUUAAAAUGUGUUUGGAAUAAAAUUAUUUAAUUCAUUUAAUUACAGUAUAUUACAGAGCAAAACCCAAUAAGAAAUUAGUUUCUACUUAAACUGUAAUAGUCUGCUCACAUAUUAAGUGAUUAUAAACACAAAUAGCUGAAAAGAAGUAUAAUGGAAGCAAUAAAUAUUGGUACUUGGUAGGAUUAUGACAAUUAAAUUGAAAGACACCUAGAGGGAUUAACAUUUUUCUACUAGGUCCAUUGCAUCCCCUUGGAACCUGCAGCUCUUUGUUCCUACCCGCUCUUGAAUUUGACCUUACCCACUAACUGUCGGUCCCACCCUCUCAAACUCAAAUUACCAAACCAGUGGCUAUUAAACCACAAGAACCAUCCCUCUCCCUUGAGAAUCAAUUUUACCAACUAUUCCUGAAACUUAGUUGAACUUCAGAUGCCUUCUUUGCUAAAGAUUUUAAGAAUUCUGCUCUUCCUCCCAAUCACAUGUCUUGGUCUUCUGAAUAAAUGUUUAUGCUUAAUGGUGCUUUGGUUUUCUUCCAAAAAAACCAAUGGAUUUUAUGUUAUUACAUACAGGGUGAUGGCAGAGAGAGAUGAGAAGAAAGGUCCAUGAUUAGCCCCGGGAACCCCAAUAUUAAAAAGCAAGGUAGAGAGGGAGAAAUAUGGACAGGAGAUUCAGAGAAGUGAGAGAGAUACCAAAUUAAAAUGGUAUUUUAUAAGCCUGGAGAGGAAGCAGUGUCAAAAAGGAGACAAUGGUUUACUCUUACAUGCUGCAGAGAAGUCAAGUAAGAGGGGAAUAAAGAAAUAGUCUUUGUGAUUUUAUUAUUCUUUUGAAUAUGUACUUGUAUUGAUGCAUCUUCAAUCCACAGUAACACUGUACAUGGCCAAUUCAUUCACUUAAUGUCUUGGAACCACAAAGUGCUAAGCAAUGGUGGGAAAUAUCUUUUUUCAACAACUAUAGUUUCUCACUUGUAGCAAAGCUUCCAAAUUUGCAAUCCACAACCUUUGGCCUCAGACUGACAACAGUGAUUCUAGGGGUUCAGAUAUCCACUGAUUUAAAUGUAAUUUAAAAUUUCAAUAUAACUGUAUUCAUAAUAUUGUUCAACUAUUAUUUUUAAAUGUUUGUAUAUGUCACUGUGAUUAGUGAAGUAUACAUUUCUAGUAGUUGUGUAUUAUUGUAUAUUUUCUCGAUCAAAAUAAAUCAAACUAUCACAUGAGGGGAUCCCUACGAUGUUGUAAACUUAAAUACGGUUUAUGUAAUUUUAAAGAUAACAAAUUCUAUUUCUUUUCAUUUUACUCUAAUACUUGGUGUGGAUUCUCUUCUCAAGAUCAUGAAGUAUCCACAUUUCCCUAUGGAAAUGAAAUGUAAUUUAUUUAUUCUUAAACAAUUUUUAAUAUUUAAUACAUACAAAAGGUAAUAUAUGCCACAGAGAUAUUUUACUUUUAUAAGUGGGAACAAUGAAAUGUGUGAGUUCAUUUUGAUUCCAGUCCAUACAUGUUAGUUUGUGAAAUUUUGGGGGAGGGGCACCUACAAAUCUAGAUUCCAAGAAUUAGACACACUAAACAUAAAUUUCAUGAAUGUUGACCACUUUUGACAGUCUAAAUUAUAAAACAAGCAAAUGGUUGUAAUUUUAUGUAUCAUUUAAUUCAUUUACUUUUUUGAAUGUGACAAAACUAGCUAUCAAACUAUAACUCAUGGUUUAUUUUGUUUCAUUUUGUUUUGUUUUUGUUAUUCAGCAG
rnacentral:lncRNA from 10 species